UAUGGAGGUGGUUAUGGAGGUCAGAGCAGCUGAGUGGUGGUUAUGGAGGUGGUUAGGGUGAUCAGAGCAGUGUGAGUGGUGGUUAUGGAGGUGGUUAUGGUGAUCAGAGCAGUGUGAGUGGUGGUUAUGGAGGUGGUUAGGGUGAUCAGAGCAAUGUGAGUGGUGGUUAUGGAGGUGGUUAUGGUGAUCAAGCAAUGUGAGUGUUGGUUAUGGAGGUGGUUAGGGUGAUCAGAGCAAUGUGAGUGGUGGUUAUGGAGGUGGUUAUGGUGAUCAGAGCAAUGUGAGUGGUGGUUAUGGAGGUGGUUAUGGAGGUCAGAGCAGUGUGACUGUUGGUUAUGGAGGUGGUUAUGGUGGUUAGACCAGCUGAGUGUUGGUUAUGGAGGUGGUUAUGGUGAUCAGAGCAGUGUGAGUGGUGGUUGUGGAGGUGGUUAUGGUGAUCAGAGCAAUGUGAGUGGUGGUUAUGGAGGUGGUUACGGUGAUCAGAGCAAUGUGAGUGGUGGUUGUGGAGGCGGUUAUGGAGGUCAGAGCAGCUGAGUGGUGGUUAUAGAGGUCAGAGCAGUAUGAGUGGUGGUUAUGGUGGUCAGAG
rnacentral:lncRNA from 1 species